AAUAUAACCCAUGUACCCCAUUUAUAUACAUACACACAGCACAGCAUUUGUAAACACACUGACACUUCAUAUCAAGAACACAUUGAGUAUUAAAAACACAAAGCUGUUCACGUGCGUUUUAAGGUGGUGAGUAACUUUUAGGCCUUGUUAGUAGCUCUGGACUUGAAAUGUUCAGCCUUGGUCUUGCAUAUUGAAACAUGUAAUUUAAUAUCAUUAAUACAAUUGCAUUUUAUGUGAAGUUGUUUGAGCUUUGUUUGUCUAUGCUAGCUGGAGAGGGGUUAAAAUUAAUUGUACUUUGGGUAAUCUAAUUUAAUCAUUUGAUAUCGGGGGGUUUGAAAAAAUAAAAAUCCAGCGCACUCACUUAUCUACUAAACAGUUAUUUUAGUGCUGAACAAUUUAGUUUUAUUAAAAACACCUAAUCUAGGCAAAAAAUAAUGGGGGUUUAGUUACAGUAUAUGAUCAUACAUUGCAUAAGCCUGCCACAAUGCCAAUGUACCCCAUCUUUGGCAGGUCCUACUCUGUCUGCUAAAUGAGCUACUCACUUGGG